UACGGAGGGGGCUAGCGUUGUUCGGAAUUACUGGGCGUAAAGCGCACGUAGGCGGCUUUGUAAGUUAGAGGUGAAAGCCCGGGGCUCAACUCCGGAAUUGCCUUUAAGACUGCAUCGCUAGAAUUGUGGAGAGGUAAGUGGAAUUCCGAGUGUAGAGGUGAAAUUCGUAGAUAUUCGGAGGAACACCGGUGGCGAAGGCGGGUCUCUGGGCAGUAACUGACGCUGAGGAGCGAAAGCGUGGGGAGCGAACAGG
rnacentral:rRNA from 1 species